rnacentral:rRNA from 1 species
CCUACGGAGGGCAGCAGUGAGGAAUAUUGGUCAAUGGGCGCGAGCCUGAACCAGCCAAGUAGCGUGAAGGAUGACUGCCCUACGGGUUGUAAACUUCUUUUAUAAAGGAAUAAAGUGAGGCACGUGUGCCUUUUUGUAUGUACUUUAUGAAUAAUGAUCGGCUAACUCCGUGCCAGCAGCCGCGGUAAUACGGAGGAUCCGAGCGUUAUCCGGAUUUAUUGGGUUUAAAGGGAGCGUAGAUGGGUUGGUAAGUCAGUUGUGAAAGUGUGCGGCUCAACCGUAAAAUUGCAAUUGCUACUGGCAGGCUUGAGUACAGUAGAGGUAGGCGGAAUUCGUGGUGUAGCGGUGAAAUGCUUAGAUAUCACGAAGAACUCCGAUUGCGAAGGCAGCUUACUAAACUGCCACUGACAUUGAGGCUCGAAAGGGUGGGGAGCAAACAGGAUUAGAUACCCGAGUAGUC